UGGGGAAUAUUGCACAAUGGGCGCAAGCCUGAUGCAGCCAUGCCGCGUGUGUGAAGAAGGCCUUCGGGUUGUAAAGCACUUUCAGCGGGGAGGAAGGCGUUAAGGUUAAUAACCUUGGCGAUUGACGUUACCCGCAGAAGAAGCACCGGCUAACUCCGUGCCAGCAGCCGCGGUAAUACGGAGGGUGCAAGCGUUAAUCGGAAUUACUGGGCGUAAAGCGCACGCAGGCGGUCUGUCAAGUCGGAUGUGAAAUCCCCGGGCUCAACCUGGGAACUGCAUUCGAAAAUGGCAGGCUAGAGUCUUGUAGAGGGGGGUAGAAUUCCAGGUGUAGCGGUGAAAUGCGUAGAGAUCUGGAGGAAUACCGGUGGCGAAGGCGGCCCACUGGACAAAGACUGACGCUCAGGUGCGAAAGCGUGGGGAGCAAACAGG
rnacentral:rRNA from 1 species